rnacentral:sRNA from 1 species
CAGCCUUUGCAUUUCCCAGCUCUCCAGCUCCCAGUCCUACUGAUGGUCACGGGCUGCUCUCCAUCCUUUUGGGAGAGCUGAGCAGCCCCAUUCCUCCCUGGAGGUGGUUCUGUGGUUUUUUUCACACUCAACCUCUGUCCAUCAAGGCAGAAGGUGAAGGGAAUGAAUGGGGAAGUCCUCACGAUAACUCCUUAUUAGGAGUGCUUGGGAACCUACAAACUGAAUAGACUAACUGUAUUCCUCUUAUACUCCAGCAGAGGGUAGUAGCUCUCCACAAUGAGACUACCAGGGAGCCAGAAACCCUGUCCAAGUCCCUUUUCUGAAAGUGCCACAGCACUGCAGCCUGGGCGACAGAGCCAGACUUUAUCUCUCUCUCUAUAUAUAUAUUUUUUGGUAGGGGGACAAGUAAUACAUAAACAUGGUGUAAAAAUGCAAAAUGGGCUGGGCGCGGUGGCCACGGGGAUCACACCUGUAAUCCCAGCAGUUUGGGAGGCCAAGGUAGGCGGAUCACCUGAGGUCAGGAGUUCGAGACUAGCCUGACCAAUAUGGUGAAACCCCCAUCUCUACUAAAAAUACAAAAAGUAGCCGGGCGUGGUAGCAUGCGCCUGUAGUCCCAGCUACCUGGGAGGCUGAGGCAGGAGAAUCACUUGAACCCAGAAGGUGGAGGCUGCAGUGAGCCGAGAUCAUGCCACUGCACUCCAGUCUGGGCGACAGGGUGAGACUUUGUCUCAAAAAAAAAAAUGCAAAAUGUACAAACAGCAUGUAGGGAAAAAUAAGUCUCCCACAUAUGGCUCCCUACCUCCCAGUUGCCCGGCUAGGAGACCAGCAUUAGUGAGAAGCUGCUGUGGCCUUCAUUGCCUAGGUAUCCGGGUACUGGAUGGACCUCUCACAGACAGCAUGGAGGCAGUGGCGUUCAACAAGCACUAUCAGAUCAAUGACAUCUACAGCUGCAGGUGAGGCAAGAGGGCAAGAGUCUGGAGCACCUGGGACAAAUCUGCCAACAAAAGCCCAAUCAAGUGGGCUGACUCAGGCUGGAGCAGGGGUCUGCUCAUUGGGUUCAGCUAGUAAGUCCAUUGCCUUCAUUUCUCUAGAUUCCCAGCCACUGGGCUCUCAACCUUAAGCCCCCGUCACCCCCGUAAUCAGGUUGCCACAUGAGAAGCCCUGGCUUGUGCACAUUUAUUUGUUUUCUAAACUCCUAAGGCCUCUGCAAGAAAGUGGGCUUUCCUCUCCAUCCACAGGCCAGCUGAAUGCCCAACACCAAUCCCCCACCCCACACCAGUGCAUUGCACCUUCAGGGCAUGGCUGUGCUGGACUGGACAAGAAGGAAGUGGGGUUGGAGGCCCCCAUGGCAUUGAUGGCACCUGUUGCUCCCCCGACAUACCUCCCUUAAAUCCAUGACAUCAUCCAUAGGGUACACUUCCUGAUAGAGACAGAAUAGAGAACUCCUCAGCCUGAGAACCAGGAGUUUCCACAGAAGUUCAUGGGUGCUCUGCCUUCUACCCUAUGAGUUGGGCCAGGCGCAGUGGCUCACGCCUGUAAUCCCAGCACUUUGGGAGGCUGAGGCUUGUGGAUUACUCGAGGUCAGGAGUUCAAGACCUGCCUGACCAACAUGGUGAAACCCCGUCUCUACUAAAAAUACAAAAAUUAGCCAGGUUUGGUGGCAGGCACCUGUAAUCCCAGCUACUCCAGAGACUGAGGCAGGAGAAUCGCUUGAACCUGGAAGGUGGAGGUGGCAGUGAGCCAAAAUCGUGCCAUUGCACUCCAGCCUGGGGGACAGAGCAAGACUCCAUUUCAGGAAAAAAAAAAAAAAAAAAAAAAAAAAAGUCUACGUGUCUCUGAUCCCUAGAUCAGGAGAUGAGUGACCCCCCUGUCCCUCUCUGCCACUAUGGGCUAUGGGGACAUUCACAAGGAAAAGAAGAGCCUUAGCACACUUCUGUUUUCCACUUUGGAGAGGGGAUGGACCUUUGAACCCUGUGCCUUUUAAUCAUGAAGCCUUUAAGUGGAACCCUUGGGAGGAGUUAAGAGCUGCAGGUCAAAGGGCAGCCAGCUGAGACUGGGAGGCGCUGGGUGGGUAGCCACAGCCUGGCUCUGGCUGUCCCCUCUAGGUAUUUAUUUCUCAACAGCUGGGGACCAGAUGAUGAUGGGAAGACCGUGGAUGGCCCCCAUCAGCUUGGAAAGGCUGCCUUACAACAUGGGGUGAUUGCUGGUCGCCAGGGCUUUGGGAGCAUCUUUGUGGUAGCCAGUGGCAACGGAGGCCAACACAACGAUAACUGCAACUACGAUGGCUAUGCCAACUCCAUCUACACAGUCACCAUAGGUGGUCACCCAAUGUUUCUGUGCCCCUGUGUGUGUGUCACCGAAUGGUUAGGGCAUCACACGUCUUGUCCCAGCUUCUGUGUGUGUCUAAAUGUGUGAGCACAAUAAUCUCUUUGGGCUCAGAUAGGACUAACCCUGCUUGCAGAGGACCUUGGGACUUCCUUAGAUGUCAGCAUACCCUGGGAACACCUUUAAGCCAUCAUCUGGAGAUCACCGAGCUGCCUCCACCCCACCACAGCUGGUUAGGCCUCUGCUAUGGCCUGUCUUUCUGUGGGCCCCCUUCUGCCUACUGGAAGCCUCCCCUGACUCCCCACAGGCCUAAAUUAAGUGCCCUUUGCCUGAGCUCCCAGUUAGCAUGUGUUUAUUUACUUACCUGACUUCUACCUGACUCUAGGCUCCUUGAGACUAGGACUGCGGCCUUUUCUGUACGGCCCUGAUGCCUGGCACGGGUGUGACCCACAGUAGAUGGGUAAUGAAUCUUGAAAACAGUAAGCAUGUGAAUGAAUAAGUGGGUAUGAAGGUAGAAGGCUGCCAGUUGUACCCCAGAGCCUAUUGAAAGAAUGGUAUUGCGGCAUAGAAUGCCCUCUGCCACUUGAGACUGCCUGUUCAGAAGAGGAUCAGGACUGCUCUGAGGGACGUGGGCCGCUCAGAUCAUGUUUCAAACUUAGGACAGCCCCCGAGGAUGAUAACUCCAAGAUAACUGACAUUAGCAAGCCCCUGCCACAAGACCCCCUCUUCAUCUUAGCUCUCAUUUCCCUCCUCUGUCCCUAGGAGCUGUGGAUGAGGAGGGACGCAUGCCUUUCUAUGCAGAAGAAUGUGCCUCCAUGCUGGCAGUCACCUUCAGUGGUGGGGACAAGAUGCUUCGGAGCAUUGUGACCACUGACUGGGACCUUCAGAAGGGCACUGGCUGCACUGAGGGCCACACAGGGACCUCAGCUGCAGCGCCUCUGGCAGCUGGCAUGAUAGCCUUAAUGCUGCAGGUGCGGCCCUGCCUCACAUGGCGUGACGUCCAGCACAUAAUUGUCUUCACAGCCACCCGGUACGAGGAUCGCCGUGCAGAGUGGGUCACCAACGAGGCAGGCUUCAGCCAUAGCCACCAGCACGGUUUCGGCCUGCUCAACGCCUGGAGGCUCGUGAAUGCAGCCAAGAUCUGGACAUCUGUCCCUUAUUUAGCAUCCUACGUCAGUCCCGUGUUAAAAGAAAACAAGGCGAUUCCACAGUCCCCUCGUUCCCUGGAGGUCCUGUGGAAUGUCAGCAGGAUGGACCUGGAGAUGUCGGGGCUGAAGACCCUGGAGCAUGUGGCUGUGACAGUCUCCAUCACUCACCCACGGCGCGGCAGCUUGGAGCUGAAGCUGUUCUGCCCCAGCGGAAUGAUGUCCCUCAUCGGCGCCCCCCGCAGCAUGGACUCGGAUCCCAACGGCUUCAAUGACUGGACCUUCUCCACCGUGCGAUGCUGGGGGGAGAGAGCCCGAGGGACCUACAGGCUUGUCAUCAGGGAUGUCGGAUAGCAACAAAAAGUCCUUGUCGAAACCACAUUUCAAGUCCUUUUACGUAUAACCAUCCUUCGGCCAGCCCCGGUAGGCAGGGGAUGAGUCAUUCCAGGUCGGCAUCCUCCGGCAAUGGCAGCUGACCCUAUAUGGCUCUGUGUGGAGUCCAGUAGACAUCAGGGACAGACAAAGGCUGUUAGAGAGUGCCAUGAGUGGAAGAUACCUGCAUGAUGACUUCGCCCUGCCCUGCCCACCGGGGCUGAAAAUUCCCGAGGAAGAUGGUUACACCAUCACCCCCAAUACCCUCAAGACCCUGGUGCUGGUAGGCUGUUUCACCGUCUUCUGGACCGUUUACUACAUGCUGGAAGUAUAUUUGAGCCAGAGGAAUGUGGCUUCCAAUCAAGUUUGUAGGAGUGGACCCUGCCACUGGCCCCAUCGGAGCCGGAAAGCCAAGGAGGAAGGGACAGAGCUAGAAUCAGUGCCACUUUGCAGCAGCAAGGAUCCAGACGAAGUGGAAACAGAGAGCAGGGGCCCUCCCACCACCUCUGACCUCCUUGCCCCAGACCUGCUGGAGCAAGGGGACUGGAGCCUGUCCCAGAACAAGAGCGCCCUGGACUGCCCUCAUCAGCACCUAGACCUACUGCAUGGGAAGGAGGAGCAGAUCUGCUGACCUCAGGGCCUGACAGUGUGGGACAGGCUCUUCCUUCCCAAAAUUAGGGAGCUCUUGAGAGAAAGCGGUUCUGAUGCUUACAUCUGGAAUCUGAGGCAUCCUCUGACUCCACUCAAAGAGGGUGAGGGCCUUCUUAAGAUACAAGUGGUGGAGGAUUGGUGCCAGAGAAGUCUGGUCAGAGCCACAGGGUCUGCCUCCAGCCAAACAGGAACUUUCGGUGAGAAGGUGUUGGACAGGGGAUUGGCGCCCCCUUUGGGUUGGCCUCCAUCCUCAUCUCUUGGGCCAACUGGCUGCCUAGGUCCCCCAAGCAUGGGGGACCCCUUCCCACACAUGAGUUGAGAAGGUGCCUGCCGUAGCCAGGAGUGCAUCUCAAUGGAAACGUCACUGGGGUCACUUGGGAAGAGGACUUCGGGGUAGAGGCUGGAAGGAGCCCCUGGACAUGCCUGUCCUGAAAGCGGCUGCCUCCAUUAUCCAUUGCCAAGAUGCCUGAUCAGAAGCCAACCAUGAAUGAACCCCUGGCUCCUUCACCACCCCCACGAUUGGUAUGAUGCUGCAGGCACAGCUGGGAUACACAUGGCUCCCCCAGGCCUGAGCUGCUUCACUAGGGAAUCCUGCGGCAGGACUGCAGAGCAGAUGGCAGACACGCAUGUUGGAGGAGAGAGCCUUGGGAGCCACUGCCGCUCCAGUCCUGCCACCACCCUGUCUUCCUCUGCAAGUGCUCAGGGAAAUGGCCUUCCCGCCGGAGGCCAGCUAUCUGCCUGACAGGCUGUGACUCUUCUCUCAGCCUUGGCCUUCUCCCCUCUUCUGAGCUAGUUGGUCGAAUUUUUUUUAAUGCUUAAGAUUUGUUUUUCUCUUUCACAGCAACAUUUUCUUGAAUUUUUUUCUGCACAGCUUUUCCAAAAUAAAAACCUUCCAAAC